rnacentral:rRNA from 1 species
UACGUAGGGGGCUAGCGUUGCUCGGAAUCACUGGGCGUAAAGCGCACGUAGGCGGCUUUUUACGUCAGGGGUGAAAUCCUGGAGCUCAACUCCAGAACUGCCUUUGAUACUGGGAAGCUUGAGUCCGGGAGAGGUGAGUGGAACUCCGAGUGUAGAGGUGAAAUUCGGAGAUAUUCGGAAGAACACCAGUGGCGAAGGCGGCUCACUGGCCCGGUACUGACGCUGAGGUGCGAAAGCGUGGGGAGCAAACAGG